rnacentral:rRNA from 1 species
ACAUGGCCUCUUGAACGUGCAUUGCGCUCUUGGGAUAUGCCUGAGAGCAUGUCUGCUUCAGUGCUUCUAC